GACGAACGCUGGCGGCGUGCUUAACACAUGCAAGUCGAACGGAAAGGCCCUGCUUUUGUGGGGUGCUCGAGUGGCGAACGGGUGAGUAACACGUGAGUAACCUGCCCUUGACUUUGGGAUAACUUCAGGAAACUGGGGCUAAUAUCGGAUAGGAGCUCCUGCUGCAUGGUGGGGGUUGGAAAGUUUCGGCGGUUGGGGAUGGACUUGCGGCUUAUCAGCUUGUUGGUGGGGUAGGGGCUGACAAAGGCGUUGACGGGUAGCCGGCCUGAGAGGGUGGCCGGCCACAUUGGUACUGAGGUACGGCCCAGACUCCUACGGGAGGCAGCGGUGGGGAGUAUUGCACAACGGGCGGAAGCCUGAGGCAGCAACGCCGCGUGCGGGAUGACGGCCUUCGGGGUGUAAACCGCUUUCGCCUUUGACGAAGCGUGAGUGACGGUAAUGGGUAAAAAAGCACCGGCUAACUACGUG
rnacentral:rRNA from 1 species